rnacentral:misc_RNA from 1 species
GAUGAAGAACGUAGUGAAAUGCGAUAGGUAAUGUGAAUUGCAGAAUUCAGUGAAUCAUCGAAUCUUUGAACGCACAUUGCGCCCCCUGGCAUUCCGGGGGGCAUGCCUGUCCGAGCGUCAUUUCUGCCCUCCAGCCCGGCUGGGUGUUGGGCGCUGUCCCCCCGGGGACACGCCCCAAAGGCAGUGGCGGCGCCGCGUCGGGUCCUCGAGCGUAUGGGGCUUUGUCACCCGCUCGGGACGGACUCGUCGGCGCUGGUCUUCCUCCAGGCGACCCUUCGGGGCUCGUCUUCCUUCGGUUGACCUCGGAUCAGGUAGGGUUACCCGCUGAACUUAAGCAUAUCAAUAAGCGGAGGA